UACGUAGGGGGCAAGCGUUGUCCGGAAUCAUUGGGCGUAAAGCGCGCGUAGGCGGCUCGGUAAGUCCGCUCUGAAAGUCCGGGGCUCAACCCCGGGAGGCGGGUGGAUGCUGCUGGGCUCGAGUCCGGAAGAGGCGAGUGGAAUUCCUGGUGUAGCGGUGAAAUGCGCAGAUAUCAGGAGGAACACCGAUGGCGAAGGCAGCUCGCUGGGACGGUACUGACGCUGAGGCGCGAAAGCUAGGGGAGCAAACAGG
rnacentral:rRNA from 1 species